GAAAAAAAAAAUAUUCUCAGCAAAUAAAAGGUUAGAAUGCUACCGAUCUGAUUCAGCAUUAUAAUCCCUGAAAGCAAAACUUUUUAAUCACUCACAAUUUAAAAUCAUUUCUUUCAUGACAGAUGUUUUAGUAUUUUCAAACAAUGUCAAAAGAGGCUCCACACAAGACAUAACACGAGGUAUUCAUGGAAAAAAGAUAAUCACAGACAGAUUCUACUUUUGUUUCUAGUGCUAACAAAAAAGACUCUAGAUAUUUGCCAAAGCCUUAAGGAUGACAAUCACGUAUGUAUAAUACAACUCCGUAUGUAUAAUACAACUCAUCAUCAAAAAUCUUCAAAUCCAACAGAUUUUAUGCCUUGUAACUCUCCAUAAUACAUAGACAUUAAUACUUUGCCAUCAAAACAGAUACACCAGCAAACAUGAAAUUUAAUGCACAUUGAGCACAAAAAGAGGGUGAAACAGAUCACCCAUUCCAAGAAGCCUCCUGCAACACAAAUCUUGAUAAUUUAAUGAACAACUUAAAAAAGACAAAAAUUAUGUGGGUUGAAGCUUUACUAACUAUUAAAAGGUAUAGUGAAAGCAGGCGUAUUAGAUUCAAUGUCCUUGACAACCAAACUCUUACAUGAACCAGCAGGUUAUGACAUACCCGGCAACUGGCAAACAGAGAACUAAAAUGGCAAGAUCAAAUGCUAAAAAGC
rnacentral:misc_RNA from 1 species